rnacentral:misc_RNA from 1 species
AAAAAGUCCCAUUUGACUCCCCUAACUAUUUCUCCUACCCUCUCUGUUAGUGGUUUAAAAUUCAUUAUCUUUCUCAUUCAUCCUACUCUUUUACAAACGUAUCUGAGCAGAAUUUUUUUUCUCUUAUCACAAGUCGUGUGNUAUAUAUGAUACACGUACAAAUGAAGACCCUUGAGCAAGGAACCCUCAUUUGAAUGAUUCACAAUCCAUAUCAUUGCUCAUACUGAAUAUUGAAACUUACAAAGUCUUUUUUUGGAAGAUUCAAGAAAGUAAAUUCCCCGUACAAGACUUUUAAGACUUUUUUCGUCUUUUUUAAUUGACAUAGACCCAAGUCAUAUAGUAAAAUG